rnacentral:rRNA from 1 species
CCUACGGGUGGCAGCAGUUUCGAAUCAUUCACAAUGGGCGAAAGCCUGAUGGUGCGACGCCGCGUGAGGGAUGAAGGUCUUCGGAUUGUAAACCUCUGUCACCGGGGAAGAAACGCUUCAUGUUAAUAGCAUGAAGCCUGACUUAACCCGGAGAGGAAGCAGUGGCUAACUCUGUGCCAGCAGCCGCGGUAAUACAGAGACUGCAAGCGUUAUUCGGAUUCACUGGGCGUAAAGGGUGCGCAGGCGGCCGUGUGUGUGAGGCGUGAAAGCCCGGGGCUUAACCCCGGAAUUGCACCUCAAACUACAUGGCUAGAGCAUUGGAGAGGGUAGCAGAAUUCAUGGUGUAGCAGUGAAAUGCGUAGAUAUCAUGAGGAAUACCAGAGGCGAAGGCGGCUACCUGGACAAUUGCUGACGCUCAGGCACGAAAGCGUGGGGAGCAA